rnacentral:rRNA from 2 species
GCUUUAGCGCGGUGGUCCCACCUGACCCCAUGCCGAACUCAGAAGUGAAACGCCGUAGCGCCGAUGGUAGUGUGGGGCCUCCCCAUGCGAGAGUAGGGAACUGCCAGGC